rnacentral:lncRNA from 1 species
GAGAACCUGCGGGAGAGCGCCCGGGCUUGCUGCUUCCCGGACCCGCGCGUCUCUCGAGCACCCUCGUCCCACCACCUUGUGAGGCCGUAGUGUUAUUUUUAUUUUUUAGAUCAGCAGACUGAGACUCGAGGUGACGUCACUCCGCAGAGAGGUUAGCUGACUUGAAGAAAACGGGUAUCUCCUCUUUCCAUUUCGCCCGUGUAAACAGCCGAACUGCCUAUUAUAAAAGCAUGGACUGCCAGCAUUGGAGUGGUCCUUAGAGGCCUAUUAUGAAAUCAUAGAAUGUCUGCAUUGGAAUCGCCUCACCUCCUUUUACCGCUGGAGAAGCCGACGGACAGACGGGCAGCGACCCCCGCCGUCGCACAACCCGUCUAGGCAGAGAGCGCAGGAGACGGGAGGGCGGCAGGGACACAUCUCCCAGCCAAGGACCUCCUGGGCCCGCAGAGGCCGCGACAGGUUCCCCCCACAGAGGGAACCAACUCUGCCGCAGGUUGAUGUGGACUUCAAGCCUGCAGAACGGAGAGCCCAUUUCCAUUGCUUAAAGCCACCUCGUGUGUGGUAUUUGUUAUGGUCCCUGUACACUCCCUUCCCUCCCUCUCCCAAGUCCAGUCCGCAGCUCGCUCAUCACCAGGCUCUUUUCCAUGACUCUUUCUUGAUCAGGCCUUUUUAUCGUCCUCACCACAGGUUAGAGCACAGCAGACUGAGCCACCCAGAACUGGCCCCUCCGGUGGACCAGCCCCUGCGGAUUCACAGACCACUGGUCCUGGAAGGGACCUUGUCAAGCAGGCCCAUAAGGUAAUCCCUCCCCGGAAAGAGAAGAUCACAGAUUUUGUCAUAUUAAAUACAUUGUAGAAAUUCAUGGUAGCAGGGGCAAGAUCAUUUAAACAAAACAGAAAGUUUCAGAGAGAGAAAAAGCCAAGGACAAAGAUUAAUCAUUUUUCUGCUUAAAAAAAAUGGCUUUGAUUUGCAACCAUGGAAUGCUCCACUGUUUCUCUUCUCUUCAAAGACAUCUACUGAAAGGAUUCCUUAACCUUACCAAGUGGCCAAAAUACUUUUCUGAGAAGAGUCACAGAGCAUAGGCCCCCCUAGGGUACACAGAGAUUUCAUUAGUCCCUAGAUGUUUCCUGAUCCUUUUAAAAACUGGUUAAAUUCAGAGACUCUAGGCAAUUACUUCUUUCAGAACCUGUGAGGCAAAAACGAAAGAAGAAGGCAGGACACGCAGUGUAACAAACCUUGGAAUGCCGCUGCCAUGAAGGUUGACCUGUGCAGUUUCAGCAGGUACAAGAUCUACCCCGGACACGGGAGGCGCCACGCCAGGACCGACGGGAGGGUUUUCCAGUUUCUUAAUUCAAAAUGCAAGUUGGCGUUCCUUUCCAAGAGGAAUCCUCCGCAGAUAAACUGGACUGUCCUCUACAGAAGGAAGCACAAAAAGGGGCAGUCGGAGUAAAUUCAAAAGAAAAGAACCCACCGAGCAGUCAAAUUCCAGAAGACCAUUACGGUGUAUCUCUUGCUGCUAUAAUGGCCAAGAGGAAUCAGAAACCCGAAGUUAGAAAGGCUCAAAGAGAACAAGCUAUCAGGGCUGCUAAGGAAGCAAAAAAUGGCUAAGCAAGCAUCUAAAAAGACUGCAAGGGCUGCUGCUACGGCACCUACAAAGGCAGCACCUGAGCAAAAGAUUGUGAAGCCUGUGGAAGUUUCAGCUCCCCGAGUUGGUGGAAAACACUAAACUGGCAGAUUAGAUUUUUAAAUAAAGAUUGGAUUAUAACUCUAAUAAUAAGAAGAAAAUAAAAAUCUCCUAAAUCUGCCUUCGCCUUUCUACUUCCACUUUCUAGUUCAGGCCCUCGUCAUGACACAGUGGAGCACUGGCCAUCUCACAGGUCCUCCUGCUGUCAGGCCCGUGCAUCCCCUCUCCAUUCCCCUCUGCUGCUAGAGCCAUCACUCAGUGCUGCGGACGGUACCCCUCCCAGGGCAGGAGGUUUCGGAACACAUGUCAUUUUCAGGGAGAAGGAAAGGAUGAAUGAAUGAGCUGGAGUACACUUUCUAGAACAUAUAAAGGGGAUAUGGGAACUGGAUGCAGAGAGCCUACCUUCCAGUGGGAGAGAUGGACCACAAAUACAUAAGCAAAUACAUAUACAAAAUCAUUGCAGAUUAUGAAAAAUGGUAAGAAAGAGAUAAAAAGUGUGACCGGAUGGAAGGUAACUGGGGCAAUCACUUUUAGGCAGAUGCCUCUGAGAUGCCAUCUGAGCUGAGACUUGACAGAUGAAGUGCCAACAAUCUCAGCCUCUAAGCCUGCCAAGCUUGAGAUGUUAUUUGUAUUAGUAAUUUGCAGGUGCAAAUGACCCACCUAGACUGUUUCUAGUGCACAGUAUGCUUUGUUGACAAAAUGCCCUGAAGCAAAAUGCCACAGAUGUCAGCUUCAGUUUUGUGGAUUUUCAUAGCAUCUUCCCGUAAGGUUGGUCAUUGUCGUUCCCAACCACUCCCCGGUUUGGGGGAAAGGACACAGGGUGUCCUCUGACUCUGGUGCACACAGGGUGUCCUCUGACUCUGGUGCACACAUGAGCUCUCACCAGUCCUGCUGGGACCAGGCUGCAGGCAAAGAACAAACACCUACUUAAUGAACUGUGAUGACAGAGGAGUGGCCAUUUGCUUCCUCCAGUGCUGUCCAUGCCAGCUCCUGAGCCCAUUUGUCACUUCCUGGGGACACAGCUGACUCAUAGAGCACUGGCAGUAAUCUUGGCCUGGGAGAGGUGGGAAACAGAAGGCUUGGAUAAAAGCAGGUGGAGCUGGUGGCUGCCUAGGUAAUAUGAUGGGAAUUUUUGUCCACUGACCUGUCCACAAUUCUUGGAAUUCUGCUAGAACUCAGUAUCCAAUCCACUUGGUUCUGAAAGGUUUUUUUUGAUUUUUGACCUUCAGCUCGCUCACUAAUGUGAAUGUUUGGAGGAGGAUACCACUGUUUAGAAACAUAAUUUAGCAUAUUAAAAAAGACUCACAAAAAAUCUCAAAAUGGCAAAAUCAGGUUAUAGGUGUUAGGCCCUGGAUCUCAUUUUAUCCAGAAUUGUUCCAUCUCUGAAAUGACAAAUUCAUACACUCUAGAGCAUGACACAUAGUCUUCUAACCUUCCCACUGAGUUACCCAUAUUACACUGCCCUUCAGCCUCCUGGAGACCUCUUUUUCUUUUUAAAAAAAACUUUUAUUUUGGGUUCAGGGGUAUGGAGAUCUCUUUUUCUAUGAAAGGAUCACAGUCUGUAUCUGCCUUAAGAUAUAGUCAUAGACAACCGUUAUUCAAAGUAAGGGGCCAUAAGUUUGGACGCCAUGGCUCAUGCUUGUAAUCCCAGCACUUUGGGAGGCCGAGGCAGGUGGAUUGCUGGAGCCCAGGAGUUCAAGACCAGCCUGGGCAACAUGGCGAAAUACAGAAAACUUCAAAAAUUAGCUGGGCAUGGUGGCACACAUCUAUGGUCCCAGCUACUCAGAAGACCGAGGUGGGAGAAUCACUUGACCCCAGGAGGCAGAAGAUGCAGUGAGCUAUGAUCGCACCACUACACACCAGCCUGGGCAAUAGAAUGAGAACCCAUCUCAAAAAAAAGGUAAAGGGCCAUGAUUGUAUGUCUAUUUGUGUGUGUAUGAUUUUAUCACUUUAUUUGACAAUCAGUGGUUGGCUCUCACCCACAUUGACUGUCUAUAGAUGUUUGAAAGUGGUCACAGGUACAUAGUUAAACCAAAGUAUAGAGUUUGUUUGCUGAACCUUCAC